AGUUAUGCACAACAACAUACCAAGCUUAGAUUUGGCGAAAAGCAACAGGAAAAAUUAUGUUCCUAUGGAGUUCUGCAUGAUAGCUGGGGGGCAGAGGUAUGCAAAGGAGCUUUUGGACAAAAAACUAUCAGAAAAUUUAAGGAAGAUUUCAUUAGCUUCACCAAAGGUCAGAGAAAACAAAAUAUAUGACAUGGUACACGAUAGAGAUGGACCAUGC
rnacentral:misc_RNA from 1 species